AUUGAACGCUGGCGGAAUGCUUUACACAUGCGAGUCGAACGGCAGCACGGGGGCAACCCUGGUGGCGAGUGGCGAACGGGUGAGUAAUACAUCGGAACGUGCCCAGUCGUGGGGGAUAACGUAGCGAAAGCUACGCUAAUACCGCAUACGAUCUGAGGAUGAAAGCGGGGGACCGUAAGGCCUCGCGCGAUUGGAGCGGCCGAUGGCAGAUUAGGUAGUUGGUGGGGUAAAGGCUCACCAAGCCUGCGAUCUGUAGCUGGUCUGAGAGGACGACCAGCCACACUGGGACUGAGACACGGCCCAGACUCCUACGGGAGGCAGCAGUGGGGAAUUUUGGACAAUGGGCGCAAGCCUGAUCCAGCCAUUCCGCGUGCAGGAUGAAGGCCUUCGGGUUGUAAACUGCUUUUGUACGGAACGAAAGGGCUCUCUCUAAUACAGGGGGCAUAUGACGGUACCGUAAGAAUAAGCACCGGCUAACUACGUGCCAGCCGCCGCCGUAA
rnacentral:rRNA from 1 species